UGGGGAAUAUUGGACAAUGGGCGCAAGCCUGAUCCAGCAACGCCGCGUGGAGGACGAAGGCCUUCGGGUCGUAAACUCCUGUCAGUAGGGACGAAAAAGUGGGGUCGAACAGGCCCCGUCAUUGACGGUACCUGCAGAGGAAGCCCCGGCUAACUCCGUGCCAGCAGCCGCGGUAAUACGUAGGUGGCAAGCGUUGUCCGGAUUUACUGGGCGUAAAGAGCGCGCAGGCGGCUGAGUCAGUCCGAUGUGAAAUCUUCCGGCUUAACUGGAAAACUGCAUCGGAAACUGCUCGGCUUGAAGGUGGGAGAGGGUAGCGGAAUUCCCGGUGUAGUGGUGAAAUGCGUAGAUAUCGGGAGGAACACCAGUGGCGAAGGCGGCUACCUGGCCCAUUCUUGACGCUGAGGCGCGAAAGCUAGGGGAGCGA
rnacentral:rRNA from 1 species